rnacentral:snoRNA from 1 species
UUGAUUAAUUAAUCGUGCGGAUUAAUAAUCCAGGACUCUAAAACCGUGUUGCUUGAAUUAAUUUACAAUUUAGUUCCCAAGCGUCAAGUCCAUCGGAGAGAAAAAAUUAGACAUAGUUCAUCUUAGUGCCCUUUUGUGUAUUUUGCUUUUAAUUAUAACAAGUUAUGCAAGGGCUGGUAGGACUAAUAUAU